rnacentral:rRNA from 1 species
UACGGGGGGGGGCAAGCGUUGUUCGGAAUUACUGGGCGUAAAGGGCUCGUAGGCGGCCAACUAAGUCAGACGUGAAAUCCCUCGGCUUAACCGGGGAACGGCCUCUGAUACUGGAUGGCUUGAGUUUGGGAGAGGGAUGCGGAAUUCCAGGUGUAGCGGUGAAAUGCGUAGAUAUCUGGAGGAACACCGGUGGCGAAGGCGGCAUCCUGGACCAACACUGACGCUGAGGAGCGAAAGCCAGGGGAGCAAACGGG